UUAACACAAUCCAAUUGAAUAUCGUCGAAAAACCACUAAAGGAAAUUAAAUAAGCGAAACAAUCCAUGGCGGAAUGUUCUGAUCCCCUAGCGUGACCUUUUACAUGUCAAUACAAAAUACGAGGACAGGUAACUUUCCGUUUUGUUGUGAAGACGAAAAAGACUUGCAAGGUAUAGCAGAGUUUUCAGUUAUAAAAUCUGUAAUUUAAGUGAAUUGCAGCGCCUCUUCAUCUUCUAGUAAAGGAGCUAUGGGAGAUGAAAGAAGAAGUUAACAAUCAGAAAUCUUGAAUCCGAAUUUUCUUCCAUCGGUAAUCACCAGCAGUUGCCUUGAUUUCCUUGAGCGGAAACCAGAGAACAUUGAUGACAUGCAGUCUACAUUUCGUGCUAAAUUUGAGAUCGGAUAAAAUUCGUUGAUCAUGCGUGUUAUUUAGCCACCCAGCCACCCUGGUAUAAGUCGACACCAAGUUCAAGGUACGUCUUCUAAUUUUUUACAACUGAUUAUGUGGAGGUUAUAGUGAGCAGAAAAUUGAAUCGGUAAACUCAACUUUAUCAAAGAAGUAACUGAAAAGUCCCCUCCCAUUUUCUGGUGGCUCCAGUCGGUUUUCCGUCACUCGGACCAUCGGAUCAGCGACGCCGCCUUUGAGUGGCCCAGACAACCCCUUUGGGUUGCCUUGCCAACGAGGCUAAAGCGGAAAUUAUUUUGCCACAUCCAGAUGACUCGAAGGUGCCGACCGUUGAGGGAAUUCCACGUCGACGACGUUGCUGAGUCACAACUUGAAACGGUCAACCAAAUGAGCAAAGGUCGCAUGGCAUAGAGAAAGCGAAUUGGUUUCAUCAAUUCUACUGAGGAAUUGAGAGCCAGAAGAGCCCACGACAAGGUCGUCUUAUUAAUUUCAACAAGAUUUGGCCAUUGGAAGUCUAUCAAGAAGAAAAUUGGCAAAUUAAACUCAACGUUAUCGAAGAGAUAGCUGAAAAGUCCCCGCCCAUUCGCCGGCGGCUCCAGUCGGUUUUCCGUCACUCGGACCAUU